GCCUGGCUGGCUCAGUCGGUAGAGCAUGUGACACUCGAUCUCGGGGUUGUGAAUUCAAGCCUCACACCAGGCA
rnacentral:tRNA from 1 species